rnacentral:rRNA from 1 species
GCCUACACAUGCAAGUCGAGGGGCAGCACAAAAAUUAGUUUACUAGUUUUGGUGGCGACCGGCGCACGGGUGCGUAACGCGUAUGCAACCUACCUCUUACAGGGGGAUAAUCCGAAGAAAUUUGGUCUAAUAUCCCAUAAUAUCGGAAAGGGCAUCCUUUUUGGUUAAAAGCUCCGGCGGUAAGAGAUGGGCAUGCGUUGUAUUAGGUAGUUGGUAGGGUAACGGCCUACCAAGCCUACGAUACAUAGGGGGACUGAGAGGUUAGCCCCCCACACUGGUACUGAGACACGGACCAGACUCCUACGGGAGGCAGCAGUGAGGAAUAUUGGUCAAUGGGCGCAAGCCUGAACCAGCCAUGCCGCGUGCAGGAAGACGGCUCUAUGAGUUGUAAACUGCUUUUAUACCAGGGUAAACGGGAGUACGAGUACUCUUUUGAAAGUAUGGUAUGAAUAAGGAUCGGCUAACUCCGUGCCAGCAGCCGCGGUAAUACGGAGGAUCCAAGCGUUAUCCGGAUUUAUUGGGUUUAAAGGGUGCGUAGGCGGCUAUUUAAGUUAGAGGUGAAAUCCCGUAGCUCAACUACGGAACUGCCUCUGAUACUGGAUAGCUAGCGAGUAGAUGCUGUUGGCGGAAUGUGUGGUGUAGCGGUGAAAUGCUUAGAGAUCACACAGAACACCGAUUGCGAAGGCAGCUGACAAAUCUAUAUCGGACGCUGAGGCACGAAAGCGUGGGGAGCAAACAGGAUUAGAUACCCUGGUAGUCCACGCCGUAAACGAUGAUAACUCGAUGUCGGCGAUACACAGCCCGGUGUCCAAGCGAAAGCGAUAAGUUAUCCACCUGGGGAGUACGUUCGCAAGAAUGAAACCUCNAAGGAAUUGACGGGGGCCCCCACCAAACCGGAGGAACAUGUGGUUUAAUUCCAUGAUACCCGAGGAACCUUACCCGGGCUUGAAAGUUACCNACGGAUUCNGAAUGAGUNCUCCCCUUCGGGGCCCNAAAACUAGGUGCUGCNUGGNUGUCCCCCACCNCNUGGCCGGAGGUGUCGGGUUA